UAUAAGUGCAGUCAUGAUUUUCCGCGUCCAAUUUUGACCGUCCGUCUUAUUUGAAAAUUUUAAAAAAAAGUUUAAAAACAUAAAUCACGAGUAAAGUACUAUUCAUGUUUUAUCAUCUCAUAACAACGAAAAUACUAAUUAUAAAAAUAUUUUAAAUAAGACGAAUGAUCAAAGUUGGACGCGGAAACUUAUGGUUGCACUUAUA
rnacentral:pre_miRNA from 1 species